AGGACUUGUCCAUAACCUCAGAGUCUUCCAGGAAGUGAGAGGUGCAGUUGGGGACUAGGUAUGGCUUCCCAAGAGAGGUUUCCUUCCCCCCAGAUGUCAAUCCAAGGCAUUUGAGCAGAGACAAGACAAUUUCCAGACUUGCCUUGGACAUGAGGACAUGAGGAGCAAGAGGAGGCCCCAAGAGGGAGGAGUUUAGUGCUACAUCAAAAACUUUAUAGUUGGACAGGCUCUACUGGUUAUUAGUGGUGUGACUUUGUGUAAGCUACUGAGUCCUUUUGGGCCUCAUUUACUCAUCUGCGAAGUAAGCACAUCCUCAACAACAGGACAUUGCCAUGAUCAUUAAAUCCACAGGACACUGUUGUAAUCAUUAAAUGAAGUAAGAUUCACUGAGUUUCUGGUAGAGAUUUGUAUGGAUUGGUAACUUUAAAGAGUGCUUGUUACACUUGUGGACACCUACUAGAAACUUUACAAUCCUAAAGUCCCUGUCAGUUCUCAUAAUUCUACAAAACAGACUAUCACAGAUAUAGCUGAUAUUCUGACUCACAUCUGCUUAGCCCUGGCUGGAGUGGACAGUUCCCUGCAAGCUUCUACUCCCUGCAAGCUGACAGUGAAACCUCUUCCUUGGAAUCCUUUGAUGCCAUGAACCAGGGAGAGGGGGGUGCUUUUCCAUCUGAGCACAUGUGGUGCUCAGAAGAGCAGGGGCAGUUUGACAGUGAGAAAGGGAGCCAAUGGGUAAAUGCCCCACCCUUUUCUUCAUAUAAUUCCAGGAGCCAUACUAUGUUCCUCAGUGAGGCAUAGGUCUUCUUUCUCUCUUGCUGUCUUUAUAAACUGGUUUUACUCCUAGAACCAUCUUUGAAAUAAAUACCCUUACCUUCGCUCUUUGAGAUGACUUCCUGAUUAAACCACACACACACACACACACACACACACACACACACACACACGCACGCACACACACACACACAUACCUGAACCCAACUAAGGCAGGCCUGGGAGUAGCUCUAGGAAGAAUACCCUCUGGGUGGAAUUCUGGAACAUUUUCACCACUGCUGGGGUUGGUGGGGUUGAUGAUAAUUCCCAUCAUGUGAUAGC
ensembl:lncRNA